ACGAACGCUGGCGGCAGGCUUAACACAUGCAAGUCGAGCGGGCCCUUCGGGGUCAGCGGCAGACGGGUGAGUAACACGUGGGAACGUACCUUUUGGUUCGGAACAACUCCGGGAAACUGGAGCUAAUACCGGAUAAGCCCUUAGGGGGAAAGAUUUAUCGCCAAAAGAUCGGCCCGCGUCUGAUUAGCUAGUUGGUGGGGUAACGGCCCACCAAGGCGACGAUCAGUAGCUGGUCUGAGAGGAUGAUCAGCCACACUGGGACUGAGACACGGCCCAGACUCCUACGGGAGGCAGCAGUGGGGAAUAUUGGACAAUGGGCGCAAGCCUGAUCCAGCCAUGCCGCGUGAGUGAUGAAGGCCUUAGGGUUGUAAAGCUCUUUUGUCCGGGAAGAUAAUGACUGUACCGGAAGAAUAAGCCCCGGCUAACUUCGUG
rnacentral:rRNA from 1 species